UCCAGAGUAGCUCAAUGGUAGAGCACGCGGCUGUUAACCGUGGGGUUGCAGGUUCGAGUCCUGCCUCUGGAGCCA
rnacentral:tRNA from 2 species